GAUUUGGACAGAGUUUGAACUUUUCUAACUUUAGAUCCUGGAACAGAGGACAGUACUACUGUGAGGCACAGAACAGACUUGGAGCUCAGAAUGCUUCUGCUCUACUGGUCACAGUGCAAGGAGGAGAAAAUCAACAAAUGAGACAGAAGGGGACAGGCAGGGGAAUAAAAGCCCCAUUUAUGGCAACGUCUCAGGGAUGGCAAUGAGUCACACUGGAACACAG